GAUGAAGAACGCAGCUAAAUGCGAUAAGUAAUGUGAAUUGCAGAAUUCAGUGAAUCAUCGAAUCUUUGAACGCACAUUGCGCCCUCUGGUAUUCCGGGGGGCAUGCCUGUUCGAGCGUCAUUAUAACCACUCAAGCUCUCGCUUGGUAUUGGGGUUCGCGGUUCCGCGGCCCCUAAAAUCAGUGGCGGUGCCUGUCGGCUCUACGCGUAGUAAUACUCCUCGCGAUUGAGUCCGGUAGGUCUACUUGCCAGCAACCCCCAAUUUUUACAGGUUGACCUCGGAUCAGGUAGGGAUACCCGCUGAACUUAAGCAUAUCAAUAAGCGGAGGA
rnacentral:misc_RNA from 1 species